GGGGCUGUGGCGGAACUGGCAGACGCGCUAGAUUUAGGUUCUAGUAUCGAAAGAUGUGCAGGUUCGAUUCCUGUCAGCCCUA
rnacentral:tRNA from 1 species